GGCUGAAUACAGGGAGAAUUUUUGCAAGGAAUUGAAGUUCACUAGUCUAUAUUUUGCAAGUAGAACUUUCUUCUCUACGAAAAUCAGAACAUUUGCCCCUCUCUAGUCCCGUGGCUCAUUUCUCCCUCGUAGUCUUUGUUUUCUGGCAGGAAAAGGGAGAAGGAAAGUAGGGAAGAUUUAUUUUUGAAAUAAAUUUUAUUGAUAUCUUUUUUUAAACAUCAUCUAAAUUUCCCCCUGUAUCUCCUCUGUCCCCAGAGAUCCAUCCAUAUAAGAGAUUUUUUUUAAGUAGAAGAGAAAAAAGUCAGAAAAACUGAUCAAUACAUUGAAAAACAUCUUAAAACAUCUAUACAAUGUUCCACACCCACGGACCCCCACUUUUGCAAAUGAGUGGGACCAAACUUGCUCUCUGUAACUUUGCAACAUUCACUCCUGGUUCUUUCGUGGUGGCUCUUCUUUCCAUUUACAUUGUUGUACUCAUCACAUACAUUGUUUUGUGUGGUCUGAUUUCUUCACUUUGCUUCAGUUCAUAUAAAUCUUUCUGUGUUGCUCUGUAUUAAUUAUAUUUGUUAUUUCUUACAGCACAAUAAUAGUCUAUUACAUUCACAUACCACAAUUCAACCAUUCUCCCAUAGAGAGGCAUCUACUUCGUUUCUAGCUCUUUGCUAAAACAAAAAGUGCUGCAAUUAAUAUUUUGAUGCACACAAGGCCUUUCUUUUUAUCAGUGACUUGCUUGAGGUCCAUACCUAGUAAUGGAAUCUCUGGGUCUGAGGGUAGGGACAUUAUAGCCAUUUUAUUUUCCUGAUACCAAACUGCUUCCCAAAAUGAUUGUACUAAUUCACAGCUCUAUCAACGAUGCAUUAGUAAUGCUAUGUUUUCACAACCCUUCUAACAUCUACUAUUCUUGUCUUUUGUCAUCCUUGCCCACUUAUUGCGUGUGAACACUGGAAUCUCAGGGCUGCUCUGAUUUCCGUUCCUCUUACUUGCAGCUGGCUUCAUUCUUCCAGAGUUGUUAGUCGUUUGUAAUUCUUGUGAAGACUGCAUCCUCUGGCCACUUGUGUAGUCCACAUAUUUGCUCUUAAAUAUUUCUUAGCUGUCUAUACAUGUUGGAUGCCUAAUCCUUAAAAGAGAAAUAUGAUACAAAUAGUUUCCCAUUUGACCAUUUCCCUUCUUAUCCUGCAUUAAUUUUAUGCAGAAACGUUUCAACUUUAAGUAAUCAAUUUAUUUUAACUUUUGUAGUUGCCUCUAGCCCUUGUUUGGUGAAGGCUACAUCUCCUCCCCAAAGAUGUGAGAAGUAUAUGAUUGGCUUUUCCUCUAGCCUUCAUGAUAGUUUAAUGGCUGCCAACUUGAGCAGUCCCACCCACCAGUUCCCUCCUUAACUUAGGAUGGAAUGAACCUGGUCCUCUUAAUCCUACUGCCUUUCCCCGGUUGAUUAUUUCCCAUUAAUCCUGUAUAUAGCUUGUUUGUACAUAUUCGUUUGCAUGUUGUCUCCCUCCUCCUGGAGAGCAGAGCCAGCCUUUGCCUUUCUUUGUAUCGCUAGGGCUUAGCACAGCACCUGGAAUAUGGCAGGUGUUUAAUAAUGAUUACUGACUGAAAAAGAGAGUGAACUGAACUCAUCAAGGGGAGCUAGGUGCUCUCCAUUUUCCUGUUUAAAAAUAAAAGGUGUAAGUAUUUAAAGAAAACGCAAGGUGCAAGACUUAGCUGGGCCAUGGAGAAUCAGCAAAGUGGACAAAGAGGAACGAGGAAGACUGUCAGCGAAGAGACACUAAUGGAUAUGUGUGUGUGUGCGUGAGCACGCAUGCAUGCACGCACAUGUGAUAGAGAGGGGGAAAGGGAGACUGAGUCGGGGGAGGAGAGGACAGGGAGAGAUAUGUGGGACAGAAGCCACAGAGAAUGGGAGAAAUGUCAGAAGGACAGGAAUAAGCAAAUACUGUUCCAAUUUAAAAAAAAAGAUGAAAAGGAAGAUUUAGGAAUCUACCAACAAAUGAGUUUCGAGAACAUUUAGGAAAGAAAACGGUAAUCACCAGGUACUAGCAUGGGUUCACUAAGAACAAACAGUCUCAUUUCCUUUUUCAUAAAAACUAACAGACCACUAGUUUUGCCUUCUGAGGCCACACAAAAUAAGUCUAAGCCCUUUUUCCACAUCACAACCCUUUUAAAUACUUGACGACAAUUCUCAUGCCCUCAUCACCUUCUGCUCUAAGUCAUAAGGAAAACUCUUCUAUUUUUUGGAUAAACUGUGUUAGAAUGUUGAAUGUAUCAUGUGUUGUGAUUUUAGUAUCUGCCUGUGCUGAAUUGAACUAAAUUAUAGUAAUAUUAUGUGCAGAGGCAGUAUGUACUGCAUGCCUGAAAUUCACUUCCUCCUCAUAGAAUCCAUCUCUCCUUUCAAGAUGCAGCUUUAACAUCACCUUUACAAGCCUCUCCCUUCUUGAUCUUACCUCCCCCCUACUCCUAAGCUUGUGCACUCUCUCUCAAACUAUCUCGAAUUUAUUCUCUGCAUGUACUUACAUAUGUACUUAUUUUUUUCACAUGUUAGAAAGUAAAUUCCUUGAGAGUAGAGAUUGUUUCAUUCUUAUAUUUUCAUCCCCAGUCUAGCAGAAUGCCUGGCACAGAGUAGAUGUUUAAUAUUUGUUGACUGACAAAUAGGAAGAUAAAAGUUUAUCUUCAUCCCCAUUAAGUCUUGCACAAAAUGAUGAAGUUACAAAAAAAAAAACCUCUCAAGUAAGAGAUACAGAGAGACCUGCCUACUUGCGUUCAUGUGAAAAAGGGCUGGGGUUUUAACUGUCUACAAGCUCAAUCUGAGUCAAUACUGAUAGGUUUGCUCAAACAGCUAAUGCAGUCCUAGGCUGCAGUAACAGUUGACUAACAGUCUCAUGGUAUUCUGUGUUAGUCUAACUACAUCUGGAGUAUUGCAUUUAGAUCUGGGUACCACAUUUUAAUGAUACUGACAACUGGAAAAGAUUAAAAAUCAUGUCACAUCUCUGAAUAUUCAGAGUUUGCCCACCCUUCAAGGUCCAAUUCAAGUUUUGAUGCUGCUGUGCUUUUUCUGGAUUCAUAUUUACUCCUUACCCAUGAAAAUACAAACUAGGAUGGAUCUGUGGGCUUAUGGAUAAGGAUGUUCCCUGUGACACAAAUCACAGCCCACCCCUGCCUGUCCCUCCAGUACAAUCCUUGUAGGCUAUCCUGUGUCAUCCAUCAGCUCACCAGCAGGGAAGGGAGACAGUGUUACCCAAGAUGCUGCUGGGAGCCUCCUUUCUUUUUCUUGACACUGCAAGGAAACCAGGUAUGUAUAGGUUGACCAGUGGUUAUCUCUACUUGAAGUCAUAUAAUGGUUGAAGAACCCCAGGUCUAUUUAGCCUAGAGAGGAGAUGACACGGGGCUCAGGAGGCACAAGAAUGAGGAUCGAGAGAAGAGGUGAUUUAUAGAGUAAUUUAAUAUUGCAAAGUGCCUUAUGUGAUCUCAUUGACUGAAAAGCUACACUAUUCAGAUAUUAUCAUCUCCAUUUUAUAGAUGGGGCAGUGUGGCUUAGUGGAAAGAAUGCUGCAUUUGGAGCCAGACAACUUCUGUUCCAAUCUCACCUCUGUGAUCAUGGGCUAGUCACAUAAAAUGUGUGGGUCUCAAUUUCCAUCUCUGCAGAGACAGCAUUGGACCAGAUGGCCCCCAGGGUUCUUUCCAGCUCUACUAAUUCUAUAAGGAAACCAAGGCUUAAAAAGAUAGUGACUUUGCUAUGAUGACACAACUAGCAUGAGCCCAAGACAAGAUGAAAAUCAGGGUCUUCCUGAAUCCAAGUCCAGAGCUCUGUUCACUCUGCUAGGCUAUACUCUCUCUCCUCAUCAACAGCUUCAAGUAUUUAAAGGGUUGUUACCUGGAAAAGACAAAGGCUUUUCCCUCUUGGCCAGGUGGCACACUGAAUAGAGCACUGCACUUGGAGUCAGAAGACCUGAGUUUGAAUCCUACUCCAAAUACUUGUAGGCUAGGUGACCAUGAAUCAAGCCCCUAGACCACUUUCAGCACUUUCCUUAUCUGUGAAAUUCAAAUAAUAAUAGUAGCAGCCUCCAAGGGUGGUUGUGAGGUUCAAAUGAGAGAACUUACGUGAAGGGUUUGGCAAACCUUGAAGAGCGAUACAAAGACUAACUACAGUCAUCUCCAGGGGGCUCUUCCUUCUUCUACUAGGAUUAAAUGGAUGGAAGUCACGGGGAGGCAAAUGUAUGCUCAAUAUCCAGAGAAACAUUCCAAUAGCUGGAAUCACACAAAAGUGGAAUAGAAUUCUUUGUGACUUAGGGGGAUGAUGGUAACCCCUUUCAGGUAUUUGAGGACCUUCAUCUGGAAGAGGGAUGCCAUUUGUUCUCCUUGCACUAGAGGAUAACAUUAGAAGCAAUAAUUAGCAGUGGAAACAGUUAGAUUUAGGCCUGGUGGAAAGAAAAAAUUCUUAACAAAGAUAUCCAAAAAUAGAAUGGUUGCCUCAGGAGGUAAUGGGUUCCCCCUUAUUGGAGGUCUUCCAGUAGAAGCAGGAUGGCCACUUACUGGGGAUAUGGAGAGGGGAUUCUGUUUCAGGGGCAAAAUCAGACUAGACAGCAAUCAUGCUUCCAGCCAUGAGAUUCUAUGAAGUAGUAAGCUCUCCAUCAUGGAGAGAAUUCAAGGAAAAGAUACAUGCUCCUGUAUCAGUGGGGAGUUAGACAAGGUCCAUCAAGGUUCCUUCCACCAUGGAAAUCCAAUGAAUCUCCUAGGAGGCAGGGUGCUUGACUAUUUUUCUCCUUGGCGAAAAAAAGUAUAAAUCUCCCUAUUUAACCUUUAUUGAUAGAUAGAUGGCUAGAUAGAUGCUAAGACAGAUAAAAUAAUUAAAUGAAUGAAUUCUUAGUCCCAAUGCUUAAUGUUUGAGUCUUAAUUAUUAAUGGUUAACAACAUGGAAGAAGACAUUCCCUUCCAUGGUACUAAGAAACACGUGAAAAAUUCACCUUCACAGAUGAUGUCAAGUUUCAUUUUGCUGGCUAUUUUGUCUUAGUCCUGGCAAAUGCCUGUCACUGGUUAGAUGUUUGACUGGUUAGUACCAUUUUCUAGCAGUCUAACCCUGGUUCUUAUCUAAUCAAUGCUUGCUGAAUUAAAUUGAAUAGAAAACAUGCUUGGAAAUUGUCUUGAUAGCUGCCUGUGUUCUUAGGACACUGGGAUUCUUUCCUGCUCCUAGGGCAUUCAAAGCUAAUGAGGCAAUCUUCAAGCAUGUAGGACACGCAUGAGUUGGAUCUCUCUUGGACAUGGAUUUCAUUGGAGAUUUGUUACAUACUUUAGUCGUGGUCACGUGAUUCACACUGGUGCUAGAGGCUAAGCUCCAGAGGGUGGAGUAGAAUGAUAUUUACACCAACAAGUUAGGCUUUGAUAAAGAAGGCAAGAUAUAAAGGAUGUGAGAAAGGAGGGACCAUUUUGAGCUAAAUGUGUUGGAAGGAGGGAGAUCAGUAAACGCAUCAUGAAGGGGGCAAAUGUAGCACCUCAACUGAUUCUUAAAAUAAAGGAAUGAUUUUACUUGGUGGUGCCAAAGAUGGACCACAAGCCAGGAAAGGAGAAUGGCCUCUUUCUAUGGAGAAGGUAGGACAAUAUCAUGGAGGAAGAAUAUAACUUGAAGAGUCUAAUUUGGUUAGAAUAUAGUGUAUGAAAGAGUAUGAUCUACAACUGGAAUGGUAAGCAGUAGCCAAGUUGUGUACAUUAAUGGCAGACUAAGGAGUUUACCUGCAUCUUAUCUCAUACGGAACUACUAAAGUUUCUGCGUUGGUCUUUUUUUGUCUGUUUUGUUUUCUAAAGCAGGUUAAGUGACAUGAUCGACCUGCAUAUUAAGAAAGGCAGCAAUCAGCACCACUGUGCUUUACAAAGUGCUUUCCUGACCACAGCUAUGAGGCAGGUAAACCAAGUAUUUUCCACAUUUUGCAGAUGAAGAAACGGGCUCAAAGAACUUAAAUGAGGUGUACAUAGUCACUAAGCUGAAAUUUGAAUCCGCACAUUCAGAUUCCAAAUAUGGCACUCGUUCCACUACACUACACAGCGGCAAACUAAAGGAUGUUGUUGGUUGUCCUUCAUUCUCGAAGAGAACCAUAACAUCAGGGAGGUGAUGCCACGACAUGCAAGGGAACUGGAUUUAAGUAAGGGAGGGCUAAGCAAAGUCACCAUUCUCACUCUCUUCUCCAGAGACAUCCAGGUCCAGUUGCCAGAUCUCAAUCAGGAGGACUGAAGAUGGCCCAGAAGGCAGUGGGAGACUUUCGACUUUUUAAGCUAACGUCUUUCCCAGGUCUUGUCUGACUGAGGCAAUGCCCGUUCACACUAAAGGAUGGACUCGAGUUGAAUGGGCAGCCUCACUCAAUGUCUUCCAGUAAAAGCUGGAGGAGUACCUGACAGGAUCAUGAUACAAAGACCAAAAUGGCAGUCCCUGUCCACAAGGUGCUCACGUUCCAUCACAGGAGACAACACGGACGUACAGAUGCACCACAAGUAUAUAAAAUAAGCAACUACAAGAUCACAGGAAGUUGGGAGGCGGAGGCAUUAACGCUAGGAAGAUCCCACCAGGUCUCAUAGAGAAAAUGAUCCUUGAGCUGAGCUCUGAAAGAAAUGAGGGCUUCUCGAGGGCAGAGGGGAGGAGGGAGGGCACUUUAAAUGCAAACAGAAUCUGUAUUUGACCCAGGAGCUCACAGGAAGCCAGGGUUUAAUGAGUUCACACCUGUGCUUUAGAACAUAACUUCACCAGCUUUCAGGAAGACGGGCUGGAGAAGGGAAGGUCUUAAAGCAGGAAGAACAAUUAAGAGUAUUUUGCAAAGUUUGAACUAGGUGAUAGUUGUGUGAGUGGAAAGAUGAGGUCAGAUGCUAUAAAUGUUUCAGGAAUAACCUUCCCUACUUGGGUUAGGUCAAGCAGUAGAUCACAUCUUCUGACCUUUAAAAAAAAACCCUUAGUCAUAACUUUCCACCAUUAAGCCAUUACCACCUUUCAGAAGUUCCAAUUGAGAAUGAUGUCUAGGUCAGUUUUAUUACAUUAUUUCCAAAAUAAAAAUGUCUUCAAGUGGAAUUUCCUUAAGACUUUCUGCAUCCCUUUUCAUACAUAUUUAAAUUUUGUACUAUAAUGUAUUGUCUUAUCAACGGUUCGUGUUCUAUUAAAUAUCACAAUCAUCAAAAAUUUAAUUUGAUUUGAAAUUAUUUACACUUUCAAGUCUGGGUUUUCAAAAAGUUUCCUUUCUUUUUCAUUCUGAUAGUCUCCUCGAUUCCUCAGUGACAGUUUUCCUCCAAUCCUAUAUAAUGGCCUGACAAUAACCUAGGUUCAUGAAGAAAGUAAGCAGAGUGUAAAUUCUGACGGGUCCUAACGUAUUGGAAAGGCUCAGGUGAUGGGCACAGUGACAAAUACUGUCUUCACAAGCAGCCAACAGGCUCACUGACAGCAGGCUGGGCAGCAGGUAACUAAGAUUUUUGGCCUCAGCAACUUCCAAAAGGUGGAAACUUGCAUUGGUGGAAGAAGUACUGACAUCAAUGAAAUAAUUACUGACUUUCUGAAAUAUGCAAAUAAUUCCCUGUUAUAGUUUCACUCAUAAUCCUUUUUCCUUAUUCCACUGUGCUUUGUGAAUGAGAAGAAGUUAAAAGGAUUUUGUUAUUUUUUUUCCUUACAUGGCAUCAUGAUCUGGGUUUCUAAAGCUUAUUUUUACGCACAACUCUCACAAGAAUUUUUCUAAAAUUGUAGCAAGUAGGUGUUAUGUCCCAAAGGGAAGCUGAAGCUCUAGACACUGAGUAAGUUGGAGUAGAAGCAGACCCAGGCAUUAUAAUUUCCUAACUUCUGAGAUCCUCAGUACUACAGAAAAGGAAGCACCUGUACCAGCUCAGGAAAAUCAAACUAAAACCCCAGCUUUUCGUCACCAUUUUAGUCUUGUGAUUAAAAAACAAAAACCCUUCAAAGUUCCAAAUAAACUAUGAGCAAAUGUUGAGAAAAGGGUGAUAUUUAUAAUUAUCCAUUUUAUUUUUAUUCACUAUAGCAACACUUUCAGGAAAGAGUCUUUACAUAAGGGUUUUUCUACUUUACAAGCAAAUUGCAAUAUACAGUAUAUAUCUGGAUGGAUUAAAAAAAAAGACAAAGGGGAAAACAAACACUGAAAGUAUCAAUGGUUGUUAUUUUUGUCUU